CUUCGCAGCAACAAAGAUCAAACUUCACAUUUCGUUUACAGAUUUUAACUCUUCGCCACCUCUAUCUCUCUGUUAGUCACUCACCGCCGGCGAGUUUCCGGUCCCCGGAGAAGACCUCUCCUCUCCUUACUAUAACCCUAGCCGAUCGCAUCAGAUCUUUGAAAAUAUGUCGGGGCAAAGCCAGCGUUUGAAUGUGGUUCCCACUGUGACAAUGCUUGGAGUUAUGAAAGCUCGUCUUGUUGGGGCGACGAGAGGUCAUGCUCUCCUCAAGAAGAAGAGUGAUGCUUUAACUGUUCAAUUUCGUGCAAUUCUUAAAAAGAUUGUGUCAACCAAAGAGUCAAUGGGAGAUAUUAUGAAAACCUCCUCCUUCGCACUUACUGAAGCCAAGUAUGUUGCGGGUGAGAACAUCAAACACAUUGUUCUUGAAAAUGUCAACACUGCCUCUCUUAAAGUUCGAUCAAAGACAGAGAAUGUUGCUGGUGUAAAGCUCCCAAAAUUUGAAUACUUUACUGAAGGUGAAACCAAGAAUGACCUCACUGGAUUGGCCAGGGGUGGACAACAGGUUCAACUGUGCAAGGCUGCUUAUGUGAAAGCAAUUGAGGUUCUUGUGGAGCUUGCUUCACUUCAGACAUCAUUUUUAACACUUGAUGAAGCAAUCAAGAGCACAAAUCGCAGGGUCAAUGCCCUGGAGAAUGUGGUGAAGCCUAGGUUGGAGAAUACGAUAACUUAUAUCAAGGGGGAGUUGGAUGAGCUGGAAAGGGAGGACUUCUUUAGGUUAAAGAAGAUACAGGGAUUUAAGAAGAGGGAAAUUGAGAGACAGAUGGCAUCUGCUAAGAACUUCUCGGACGAACAGGCUGCAGAAGUUUUGUCUUUAAAGAAGGGUAUUUCACUGAAUUCAGCUCAAAAUUUGUUGUCUGGAGGUAUGGGAAAAGACGAGGAUAUCAUUUUCUGAUCGGGAUAUUAGCUUUAUAUCUUGGUUCUUACUUCUUAGAAUGUGUGAUUCUGGCUGUGCUUGUUGUUAAGAGGUAGAAGUGGAUGGCUGUAUAAUUUGGAGGAAGCUUGACAUUGUAUAGAUCAAUUGGGGUAGUCAUUGUGAACCUGUGGAAAGCACAACAGGUAAUUAAGCUUGCAUAUUGUUGCGGUUACAUAUCCCUCUUUUUUU